rnacentral:rRNA from 1 species
UACAGAGGGUGCAAGCGUUGUUCGGAAUUAUUGGGCGUAAAGCGCGUGUAGGCGGCUUUGCAAGUCGGGUGUGAAAGCCCUCAGCUUAACUGAGGAAGUGCGCCCGAAACUGCAGAGCUUGAGUACCGGAGAGGAUGGUGGAAUUCCCCAAGUAGAGGUGAAAUUCGUAGAUAUGGGGAGGAACACCGGUGGCGAAGGCGACCAUCUGGACGGAUACUGACGCUGAGACCCGAAAGCGUGGGUAGCAAACAGG